rnacentral:tRNA from 1 species
GGCGAAGUAGCUAAGUGAUAGAGUACUUGCUUAGCACGUGCAAGGCCCUGGGUUCAAUCCCCAGCACCGCUG